rnacentral:rRNA from 1 species
ACCCGCUGAACUUAAGCAUAUCAAUAAGUGGAGGAAAAGAAACCAACAGGGAUUGCCUCAGUAACGGCGAGUGAAGCGGCAACAGCUCAAAUUUUAAAUCUGCCACCCGGCCGAGUUGUAAUUUGCAGAGGAUGUCAUGGGAUUUGUGGGGGCUUAAGUUCUUUGGAAAAAGACGCCAUGGAGAGUGACAGUCUCGUCUCGUCCCACCACACUUUCUGCCGUAUGACUCCUUCAAAGAGUCGAGUUGUUUGGGAAUGCAGCUCAAAGUGGGACGUAAAUUUGUUCCAAAGCUAAAUACCGGCUAGAGACCGAUAGCGCACAAGUAGAGUGAUCGAAAGAUGAAAAGCACUUUGAAAAGAGAGUUAAAAAGCACGUGAAAUUGUUGAAAGGGAAGCUUAUGUCAUCAGAAAUGGCGUCAAUGUUCAGCCGUUUUGGUGUACUCAUUGAUUAGUCAUGCUAGCAUCAAUUGGGAUAGUCGGAUAAAAGUGUUGGAAAUGUAACUCCCUCGGGAGUGUUAUAGUCCGAGACAGAAUGCGUCUAAUCCCGAUUGAGGACCGCUUUGAGGAUGCUGGCAUAAUGGUGGCAUGAGGCCCGUCUUGAAAACACGGA